AAAGUGGAAAUGGAGGCAGCCUCGGCAGCAGGUUCGGUAGUUUCACCGGCUCAUUCUAUUACGGGGCGCUUCGAGGAAGUUUGCAUCAACAGUAGUUUGCAGUAUUGCACGACAACAAAUCUCACCUUCGUUUCAGACAAAGAUCCAUUAUCUGAAGAACCAUUCAAUGGAGAUUUGCGACAACAGUUUACAAUCCGACAAAGGCUGUUUUAUGGAAAAAGCCUCGUGAUAUCAACCACACUGCUCUGGUUAAAAGCGACUUGGAAAAAGCACGGCAUGGUAACGGUACUACAAAUUAUGCCAUUGUUGGUGAAUGCCCAUCGUCACUCGCAACCCAAAGUUUAGAGACCAAUAACAAUAAUGUAACACGGCGUCGAUAUUCUUUGUUUGGCCUUUUGAUAGACCGCACACUAGGAUCAAACGCAAUUCAAAAGAAACGUUUACGAGAAACCGCAACAUGCAACAAAACUGAUUUGAUCAACAAGAUACCCAUUUGUAAUAGUGGAGAGAAACCGACAUUUUCCAACCAGUAUAAUGUUACAUUGAAAGGUUUUCAUGAGAGCCUCAACCUGAGCAGUCAAGGACCAUGGUCAAAUCUGAUCCAUCCAGGCAUCGAUCGUAUUGCAUUUAAUGACACAUCGAAUUGGUCCACAAACUCCGAGCGAAAAAGACUAAGCUCAAUCAGAGUUAGCUACGAUUCCAUUUACCAUUUGGAUGAACACCCAUCAUUCCAACGUGUCCAAACAUCCACUCCGUUGGACUCAUUUUCUUUGAAUCUUUCAAUAAGCG